UUGUUCAAGCCUCACCACCGAUUAAAUAAUAAAUAAAUAAAUAAAUAAAAUAACAUACUAGUGCAUGUAUAUAGGUAGAUCACACCCAAAAUUGUUUUAUUCCUUAGCUUAGUACUUUUAUGGAGAAUUUAUAUAAUGAUCUUUGCUACAUUUUUGGUGAAAAGGUACUACCAUACUUAUAUUCCUUGUUCUUACCCUUUAUUAUCUUCCUUGUUAGCCUAGUAAGGCAUUUGUUUUUGUCCUUGAGAAAUCAUUCACUUGAAAGAUUCUCAGAAUGCUUUCCUUUUGGGUGCCCCGAGAGCCUGUAUGGCUAAUUCUGAGAUGAAUGAAUACACACGGAAGUGUGUAGCUCCGUUAUAGAACAUACAUACAUACAAAUACUCAGAAACC